ensembl:snoRNA
UGGGGAUUAAAUUCCACCAUAAUUUACAACACACCCAACAGGAAUCUAGGAUCACUGUGACAAGGGGCACAAAACUUGUGGCCUCCCUAACAAAUGCCCUACGUCU